GGCGCAUUCGUCUAGAGGCUUAGGACACUUCCCUCUCAAGGAAGAGAUCACGGGUUCGAAUCCCGUAUGCGCUACCA
rnacentral:tRNA from 2 species